UACAGAGGGCCCAAGCGUUGUUCGGAUUCACUGGGCGUCAAGGGUGCGUAGGUGGUGGGGUAAGUCGGAUGUGAAAGCUCGGAGCUCAACUCCGAAAUGGCAUUGGAAACUACCCUGCUAGAGGAUUGGAGGGGGGACUGGAAUACUUGGUGUAGCAGUGAAAUGCGUAGAUAUCAAGUGGAACACCAGUGGCGAAGGCGAGUCCCUGGACAAUUCCUGACACUGAGGCACGAAAG
rnacentral:rRNA from 1 species